GAGAGAGAGAGAGCCAAAGACUAAGAGGGUUUCGGCUAGAGAGAGGAAAAGAAAGAAAAAAAUUUAGCUCAUCAAUUCUUGGUCCAAAAAUCAUAAUCUUCUAGUUUUCCUAUUAAGUUGGAAACCCUCUUCAAUGUGAUACAAAUUUGGAAGCAAAAGAGUACUUUUUUUACAAAGUGGAAAUUCUUGAAGAAAAGGAUUCUGAGCGAAACGGGAUUUGAGUUUUGGACGAGCGUAAGACGUAUAUAAGGUACAGAUACCAGUGAUCCACCACUGUAGGCUCCACUUUCUGCUAUUUCGGAGUACUCCCUUUUGAUCCGGAGUCCACUUUUGGUACAUACAUCUUUUGCUAUGUAUAUACUUCUGUAUAUCUGACUAUUUGGGUACGGCGGGGCCCUGUCCCGUCAUAUGUCUUCGUUUUGGAUUUGUAGAGGCCUGUAGUCAUAUAUGUGGGUCGUGGGUCCUAUGUGUACUCAUUUUGGUUAUGAUUUAUGUCUUAAUGCGGUCCUAUUUGUUAUGGCGGCCAAACUGGCCCAUAUGUUUGCAUCAGUAUAUAUGAUCGGCGAUGUGUAUUCCGCCGCUCCUUUUGGCUUUGAAUAUGAUAUCUUUAC